CAUCAAAACUCCUGUUUUAACGGUGUUGUCUGAGCUACAAGCAACGAAUCAAAACUUUCAACAACGGAUCUCUUGGUUCUGGCAUCGAUGAAGAACGCAGCGAAAUGCGAUAAGUAGUGUGAAUUGCAGAAUUCAGUGAAUCAUCGAAUCUUUGAACGCACAUUGCGCCCCUUGGUAUCCCGAGGGGCAUGCCUGUUCGAGCGUCAUUUCACCACUCAAGCCUGGCUUGGUGUUGGGCGACGUCCCCCUUUAGGGACGCGCCUCGAAACGCUCGGCGGCGUGGCACCGGCUUUAAGCGUAGCAGAAUCUUUCGCUUUGAAAGUCGGGGCCCCGUCUGCCGGAAGACCUACUCACAAGGUUGACCUCGGAUCAGGUAGGGAUACCCGCUGAACUUAAGCAU
rnacentral:misc_RNA from 1 species